GUCGGCCCCUAAGGCGAGGCAGAAAUGCGUAGUCGAUGGGAAACAGGUCAAUAUUCCUGUACCGCUCUAUGAUGCGAUGGGGGGACGGAGAAAGUUAGGCCAGCCAACUGUUGGAAUAGUUGGUUUAAGCAUGUAGGCGUGCCCGUUAGGCAAAUCCGGCGGGCUGAGCUGAGGUGUGAUGACGAGGUCUCUUUGAGACCGAAGUGGUUGAUACUCUGCUUCCAGGAAAAGCCUCUAAGCUUCAGUCAUAGAGUGACCGUACCGCAAACCGACACAGGUGGGCAGGUAGAAGAUACUAAGGCGCUUGAGAGAACUCAGGAGAAGGAACUCGGCAAAUUGAUACCGUAACUUCGGGAGAAGGUAUGCCUCGGUAGCUUGUAGGAGCACAUCCGAAGGGCGACGAGGCCGCAGAGAAUCGGUGGCUGCGACUGUUUAUUAAAAACACAGCACUCUGCAAACACGAAAGUGGACGUAUAGGGUGUGACGCCUGCCCGGUGCCGGAAGGUUAAGUGAUGGGGUGCAAGCUCUUGAUCGAAGCCCCGGUAAACGGCGGCCGUAACGAUAGCGGUCCUAAGGUAGCGUAAUUCCUUGUCGGGUAAGUUCCGACCUGCACGAAUGGCGUAACGAUGGCCACACUGUCUCCUCCUGAGACUCAGCGAAGUUGAAGUGUUUGUGAGGAUGCAAUCUCCCCGCGGCUAGACGGAAAGACCCCAUGAACCUUUACUGUAGCUUUGCAUUGGACUUUGACGGGACUUGUGUAGGAUAGGUGGGAGGCGAUGAGAUCGGGACGCCAGUUCCGAUGGAGCCGUCCUUGAAAUACCACCCUGGUGUCGUUGAGGUUCUAACCUAGGUCCAUCAUCUGGAUCGGGGACCGUGCAUGGUAGGCAGUUUGACUGGGGCGGUCUCCUCCCAAAAGGUAACGGAGGAGUACGAAGGUCUUCUAGGUACGGUCGGACAUCGUACUGAUAGUGCAAUGGCAAAAGAAGGCUUGACUGCGAGACCGACAAGUCGAGCAGGUGCGAAAGCAGGUCAUAGUGAUCCGGUGGUUCUGUAUGGAAGGGCCAUCGCUCAACGGAUAAAAGGUACUCUGGGGAUAACAGGCUGAUUCCGCCCAAGAGUUCACAUCGACGGCGGAGUUUGGCACCUCGAUGUCGGCUCAUCACAUCCUGGGGCUGUAGCCGGUCCCAAGGGUAUGGCUGUUCGCCAUUUAAAGUGGUACGUGAGCUGGGUUUAAAACGUCGUGAGACAGUUUGGUCCCUAUCUGCCGUGGGCGCUGGAUAUUUGAGGGGGCCUGCUCCUAGUACGAGAGGACCGGAGUGGACGGAUCUCUGGUGUACCGGUUGUGACGCCAGUCGCAUCGCCGGGUAGCUAAAUCCGGAAGAGAUAACCGCUGAAAGCAUCUAAGCGGGAAACUCGCCUCAAGAUGAGAUAUCCCUGGGAACUUGAUUCCCCUGAAGGGUCGUUGAAGACCACGACGUUGAUAGGUCGGGUGUGGAAGC
rnacentral:rRNA from 1 species